CCAGACUCCUACGGGAGGCAGCAGUGGGGGAUAUUGCACAAUGGAGGAAACUCUGAUGCAGCGACGCCGCGUGAGGGAAGACGGUCUUCGGAUUGUAAACCUCUGUCUUUGGGGAAGAAAAUGACGGUACCCAAAGAGGGAGCUCCGGCUAACUACGUGCCAGCAGCCGCGGUAAUACGUAGGUGGCGAGCGUUAUCCGGAAUUACUGGGUGUAAAGGGAGCGUAGGCGGGGGAACAAGUUGAAUGUUUAAGAUAUGGGCUCAACUCAUAUAAGCGUUCAAAACUGUUUUUCUUGAGUGAAGUAGAGGUAAGCGGAAUUCCUAGUGUAGCGGUGGAAUGCGUAAAUAUUAGGAGGAACACCAGUGGCGAAGGCGGCUUACUGGACUGUAACUGACGUUGAGGCUCGAAAGCGUGGGGAGCAAACAGGAUUAGAUACCCGGGUAGU
rnacentral:rRNA from 1 species